UCCUGGUGGCUUAGACGGUACAGAAUCUGCCUGCAAUGUAGGAGACCCAGGUUCAAUCCCUGGGUCAGGAA
rnacentral:tRNA from 1 species